rnacentral:rRNA from 1 species
UGCGCAGGCGGUUUUGUAAGACAGGUGUGAAAUCCCCGCGCUUAACGUGGGCAUUGCAUUUGAAACUAUGUAGCUAGAGUUCUGUAGAGGGGGGUAGAAUUCCAGGUGUAGCGGUGAAAUGCGUAGAGAUCUGGAGGAAUACCGAUUGCGAAGGCAGCCCCCUGGACAGAGACUGACGCUCAAAUGCGAAAGCGUGGGGAUCAAACAGGAUUAGAUACCCUUGUA